rnacentral:rRNA from 1 species
GACGAACGCUGGCGGCGUGCUUAACACGUGCAAGUCGAACGGAAAGGCCCUGCUUUUGUGGGGUGCUCGAGUGGCGAACGGGUGAGUAACACGUGAGUAACCUGCCCUUGACUUUGGGAUAACUUCAGGAAACUGGGGCUAAUACCGGAUAGGAGCUCCUGCUGCAUGGUGGGGGUUGGAAAGUUUCGGCGGUCGGGGAUGGACUCGCGGCUUAUCAGCUUGUUGGUGGGGUAGUGGCUUACCAAGGCUUUGACGGGUAGCCGGCCUGAGAGGGUGACCGGCCACAUUGGGACUGAGAUACGGCCCAGACUCCUACGGGAGGCAGCAGUGGGGAAUAUUGCACAAUGGGCGGAAGCCUGAUGCAGCAACGCCGCGUGCGGGAUGACGGCCUUCGGGUUGUAAACCGCUUUCGCCUGUGACGAAGCGUGAGUGACGGUAAUGGGUAAAGAAGCACCGGCUAACUACGUG